CUUGGAAAUAUUGGCCUGGCACCUUGUUUACAGAGAUUCCAGCAAUCUUACCUGCAUAAAUUAUGAAACUUCUUCCUCUGCUGCUGGAGAUACAGAGAUAAAUGGCACUAUUUCUUCCUCCAAGAUCUAACAAUCUAACGGGAAGAUGUUCACCAGAACAGCUAACUGUAAGAUAGGGGAUGAGGACCAUUCUGCAGUUUGGAGACUGAGUGCUAGGUGGAAACAUCCAGAAGCCCACCCUGGGUCAUAGGUGGUUGCUGUUUCCCACUGCCCCACCCUCUGGGGCUCGUUGAACCCUGAAAAUAAACCUACGAAAUCUUCACAUGGCAGUGAAGGAGGUAGGAUCACUCCAUUUAAUAUAUGAAGAAACUGAAACUUAGGAGCUUAAAUAAUUUGUCUGGUGUGAAAUCACCAGGAAAUGAGAAGUAAGCUUCAAACCGAGGUACAACAGACUGUGACCCGGUGCUCUCCUCUCCAUGCUGGGUGGCUAGAAAAGCUGAAGAAUGAAACACAGCGUCCAUGUACACAUAUGUCCACAUACUACACCUAUGAAUAUGUAAAUAUGUAUAAUGCUUUGACACUUCAUUUCAAAUGUCUGAAAUGACACCUGUUUGACACCCAUCUCCCUGGACAUACUUUCCCUCAUCAAUAUACCCAUUAGGCCCACAGCUGGUGGCUGGAGCUCAGAGCACAGAACACCCCAUGUCCCUUCAGAGCUUCUUAUAAAGUCACACAUUCCAUCCCAUUUGAAAGAGAGACUCUGAGCUCCACCACGGGGCCUUGAGGCCCCCUUGCUCUUGCAGAGGCCCCUGUGACCAUCCCAGCUCAGCCUUCCCCAGGACCCCACUGGCUUGAGAGAGAAGGAAGAGGAGGUACCUGCAAUACAAAAGGGGAAAGAGUUGCCCUCAGUUUUGGCUGAGGCCUGGAAGAAGAGGAAGGUUUGUUCAUGCCUAUCCAGCUGGGUCCCCAGAGCCCUACCCAGCUCCGAGGAGUGGCCGAGACAUGCCAAGCCCCUCAGAGGGCAAGCAGAGGAACCUGAGAGGGGCCCUCGGAAUCCAGAAAAUCUGAAGUGUCUGUGGCAGCUUCCAAAGCUGGUGGCUGGCCCUUUCCAAAGAGACACGAGAAGGACCAAGGAAAGCCACAGGGCCCAGCAGCCACUGUCCCUGGCAGGAACACCCACAUGAUGACAACCACAGCCACUGUCACCACCACCCGCACCUCAGGUUCUUGGGUUGGGGAAGGGACACGACUCAACUGGUCCCAGUUACCACCCCCAGUGCUGAAAUCAUCUGAUCUUCACUCAGCCUGUGAGGAGCCACGUGCACAAUCCCAUCUAGAGAGUGUGAUUAACGUGCUAAGAUCACAUAGGCGCUGCCACCCCAGGGCGCUGGAGCUCGUCCUCUUUGGGCGCUGGUUCACUUAAAGCACACUGGACAUCCUGCAGGGUUCAGGUGCUCACUGGAGUUUCCAUUUGAUGAAUCUCUAUCUCACCUACUUUACAUGUGUACUGUUCUGGGCACUGGGGACACGGUGGAGGCUCAGAUGACACUCUCUGUCCCCAACUUUGUAUGGAAUUGUGUGCAGGGGAUAAAGGCUGUCCCUAAUAAAUUUCAUAUCUGGAGUUCGGUGUGAAUUUUGUCAGAGGAACAACAUCACGCUUGGUAGAUAAGGACCAGAGCAGCUCUCUAAACCAGUGCCUCUCACAGUUCACUGAGCAUGUGAAGAGAUCUUGUUAGAAUGUGGGUUCUGGUUCAGUGGGUCUGGGUGGGCAUGAGAGCCCACAUUUAUAGCUCCCUGGCGAUGCUGUGCUGCAGGCCCAUGGGCCACGCGUUGAGUAAUAAGCUUCUAAACCAGUGGUUCUCAGCCCUCACUGCACAUGAGAACCACCUGGGGGAGUUUCUGAAAGAUACCAAGACUGCGGACCCUACCCCAGACCCAAAUAAAUCAGAAUCUGGGUCCUCACAAGAACUUGUGCACAAAUGUCCACAGCAGAAUUACUCAUAAUAGCUAAAAGGUGGAAACAGCCCAAAUGUCCAACUGAUGAAUGGAUAACAGAAAGUGGUAUAUCCAUACAAUGGGAUAUUAUUCCACCAUAAAGAGGAAUGAAGUUCUGAUAGAUGCUAGAACAUGCAUGACACUUGAAAAUGUUAAGUGAAAGGAAGCCAGUCACAACAUACCACAUAUUAUAUGAUUCCAUUUAUUUGAAAUGUCCAGAAUAAGCAAAUCUAUAGAGACAGAAAGUAGAUUAGUGGCUGCCAGGGGCUGGGGGAGGGGAGAAUAGGGAAUGACCACUUGGGCACUGGGUUUCCUACUGGGGUGAUAAAAAUGUUGUGGAAUUAGAUUGUGGUGAUGGUGGCACAACUGUGGGAACAUACUAAACCCACUGAAGUGUACACUGUAAUAUCUGUUGAAAAAACUAAUGCUUUGGAGAAUCCAAAUUGCCUUAGAGUUCUCAAAUUUCAACAUGCUUUAAAAUUCCCUGGAGGGCAUAUGAAAAUACAAAUUGCUGGGCUGCAUCCCAGAACUGGGGCAGGGGCAACUUCCCAGGGGAUGCUGAUGGCUGUGGGUCUGGGGAUCUUGCUUUGAGGACCAAGGUGCUAGACCGUUCAGAAUAUCAGUGUGACACAAACACUUGAAGUGAUCAAAUCUUUCCUUUUUUAAAGAUUGUAAACUACUCAGGCCAAAGGCCAGGGGGUUUCUUUUCUACUUGCUGAAUGUAUGCAUUGAACAUAAAAGCAUUCCUUUCCACUCUUUGAUGAGUCUAGUAGGGAAAAAUAGAUUCAAAUAACCAUUUACUGAUGAACAAGAAGUUUGAGUUCUAAUCACAUAACUCAGAAAUCAAGUUUGAAGAAAGCUUCCUGAGAAAAGAAAAUCAGCUUUCACAACAUCCAAGCUCGGGUCCCUGCUCAUCAGUGGUCUCUAGAGAUGACCAUGGGUUAUUGUGGAUUCAGCAUAAUCCACUGAGCCUUACAAAUGGCUUCAUGUUCAGAUGCUCAUUUUUAAUGUAAUAGCCACCCCACCCAAAAUAAUAAUAAUUCUGCAUCUUGCUUUAGUAUCACUCUUGCAUGAAAGGAUUAAGGAACAAAAUCACAAGAGGAUCUGGGGCCUACAUCUUUGUGUCAUUGUUAAUGAUUUUGCUUUUCUCCUAAUUUGAAUUCAAAGAUGGUUCUUACUAAAAAAUGAAAACCAGCAUACUUUGAUUACAUUCAGAUUUAUAUAGCAUUUACAAACCCCCCACAAAUCUAAAGGAUUGUAAAGAUGACUGUGUAAAUGGAGAGAUAAAUGUAUUUUUGUUGUUUUCUUCUUUUAAACCAACCUUUUCUCAAUGUGUCUUUACCCCUAAACAUGGUCAUGAAUGUGGUUUUAAUUUCUCAUAUAUUAAAUUCUUCUUAGAUUUUAGAUUAAUCUUACAAUAAAAUUACAAUUUACGAAAGAGAAAAACUAAACACUUUCAAGAUGGGGUUUAAACCGUAAGUAUGAGGUCUGUUCCACAGAUUCUAGAUUCGUUUUGAAUUCUAAGGACUGUGUUGAAUAAGGAAAGUCCAUUUCUACCUGUGCAAGGACACGGCAUUGUCUUAAUUGCCUUAGGACACAAAAAUGUCCGCAAUUUUCUACUAUUCAUACCUUAGCUAUUUAGUCAAAUGAAGGAAAGUGCUAGUAAAUUUAGUUGAGAGGCGUUUAACCAGGGUGAUUAAAUAAAACUUUUUACUCUUACUUUCAAAUGAGAUUUCUCCCAACAAUAAAAGAGCCAUCCUUAAUUUAUAUUGUGACACAUAUUCAACUUUUGUCCUCCAGAUAAGAUUUUAGAGAAAACAAAUGAGAAAAGUGAGCCAUUUGGGGACCUGACAAAAUAAUGCCUGGCAUUAGUCUGGAUUUGAUUUGAUCUUCCUAAUCACACUGUCAGCACCUGGAGGGCAGGAUGAAUCUCUCUCUUUUUCUUUUUGUCACUCAUACAGCCCCCGGCCCCUGGGCUGUGUAGAUAGUAGGAAGUGACGAGGAACUUAUGAAAUAAAUGAAUAAAUUUUUCAAGGCAAUAGCAGGCCAAAGCCACAUACUGUAUGACUCCAUUUAUAUGAAAUGUCCAGAACCAGAGUCUCUUUGGGGUGUCUUUU